rnacentral:rRNA from 1 species
GUAGGUGGCAAGCGUUGUCCGGAAUUAUUGGGCGUAUAGCGCGCGCAGGCGGUUCUUUAAGUCUGAUGUGAAAGCCCACGGCUCAACCGUGGAGGGUCAUUGGAAACUGGAGAACUUGAGUACAGAAGAGGAAAGCGGAAUUCCACGUGUAGCGGUGAAAUGCGUAGAGAUGUGGAGGAACACCAGUGGCGAAGGCGGCUUCCUGGUCUGUAACUGACGCUGAGGCGCGAAAGCGUGGGGAGCAAACAGGAUUAGAUACCCUGGUAGUCCACGCCGUAAACGAUGAGUGCUAAGUGUUAGGGGGGUUUCCGCCCCCCUUAGUGCUGCAGCUAACGCAUUAAGCACUCCGCCUGGGAGUACGGCCGCAAGGCUG